UUAUCAAAAGUGAAUUUUGUCUUAUUUUGGUCUUUUUAAAAUCUCAACUUUAUAAUAUCGGUGUAAUUGAUAAUAGAUAUACUACCUCUUUUCCCAUAAGCUCACAAUGUUUUAAUUAAGCGUUUGAUACGAAGAUUAAUGAUUUUGACCAACCAAAAAUUAGAGCCAAUCACACGGAAGAAGAAAUGAGUACGCUAGGCUUGACUGGUUCAUGUUCAAAACUGGGAUGAUCGUGACGAAUACACGGGUGCUCUUCCUAAUGGAAGUUUUUAAACUAUGAUGCCGCUGUCUUAUUGGACCGGGAAUACAUUUAAAAUGUAGGAGACUCUGUGGAAGUUAUAACAUUUGAUUUCUGACUAUUUUCCAGACAUAUUAUUAACUUUUUGGUAAUCUUUGUUGGAAUUGCCAAACUUUUUAUUCCAGACAUAAGUGACAACCCAGGGAAUAACCUAACUUUGUAUAAUACAACAUAGGAUUAUAAGCGCACGCGUGCGAUGCAAGUAUGGAGACGACUCCAGUAAAAGUUUUAAGAACUGGAUCGUUGAAGAGGAAGAGUAAAGUUGUGGAUAUCAGUCGCAGGGUGACACUAGAAAGAGUCCUAGGACUGACUGUUACCACCAAUGCAGCUUUGGCAGUAGACUCUAAAACAGGACUAAUAGCAUAUCCAGCAGGAUGUGUUGUUGUCCUGUUCAAUGCCAGGAAACACAAACAGAGCCACAUCUUCAACACUUGCAAGAAGACCAUCACUUGCCUGGCGUUUGCAGGAGAUGGCAAACAUUUGGCCACAGGGGAGAGUGGCCACCAGCCCCAUGUGCGGGUAUGGGACAUAGAGGAGAAGGUCCAAGUGGCCGAGUUCCAUGGACACAAGUUUGGCUUGCAAAGUGUGGUUUUCUCCCCCAACCUGAAGUAUCUUGUAUCAGUGGGAACUCAGCAUGACAUGAUCAUCAAUGUUUGGAAUUGGAGGACCAACACCAAAGUUGCUUCAAAUAAAGUCUCCAGCAAAGUGAAUGCUGUGGGUUUUUCAGAAGAUGGAAGCAUGUUUGUUACAGUGGGCAACAGACAUGUCAAGUUUUGGUAUUUAGAUGCUAGUAAAUCAAAGAUCAAAAAUGAAACAUUGCCCUUGUUGGGACGAUCUGCAAUAAUUGGCGACCAGAAGAACAAUUUCUUCUGUGGUGUGGCCAUGGGCUGUGGAGCUAUGGCAGGCAGCGUCUAUGCCAUCACACAGUCAGGGAGGCUGUGUGAGUUUAAUGCCAAAAGAUUGUUGGAUAAGUGGGUGGAACUCAGGACCACCAAAGCCAACUGUUUGUCAGCUGGAGCUGAUUACAUUUUCGUUGGUUGUGCUGAUGGCACAGUGCGCAUCUUCAGUGCACAGAGCCUCCAUUUUGUCUGCUCUAUGCCAAAGCCACAUUACCUAGGUGUAGAUGUCACUGCUGGGCAGGAUCCAAGUCACAUGGGGGUGAAACCAGACAAUGCCAGAUAUCCAGACUGCAUAGCUCUGGAAUAUGAUGAGAUGAAUAAAAAAGUGACAUGUAUAUACAGUGAUCACAGCCUGUACAUGUGGGAUGUCAGGGAUAUUAGGAAGAUUGGCAAGGCUUGGUCUGCCUUGUUCCACAGUUCCUGUAUAUGGGGUCUGGAGGUCUACCCAGUGUGUAAUAACCCAGCUCUUCCUCCGGGGUCGUUUAUGACCUGCUCCAGUGAUGACACUAUACGGGUCUGGAACAUUGACCCACACAUGACCAAUGAUACUUUGUAUAAGAGGAACAUUUACAGCCACGAACUCCUCAAAGUUCUCUAUGUGGACAAGAACCUGAGUUUUCUCUGUGACAAGGAGUACAACCCCACUGGAGGUGCUGACAAGACAGACACCACGUAUGAUGGGAAGAACGGGGUGCGUGCUGUGCGCGUGUCUCCUGAUGGCCAGCACUUAGCUUCAGGCGACAGAACUGGCAAUAUCAGAGUGCAUAAUCUACAGAAUCUUAAGGAGUUGUGUAUCAUUGAAGCCCAUGAUGGGGAGGUGCUAUGUCUGGAAUAUUCCACUCUUCCUGCAGGCCCCAGAUUACUGGCCUCAGCCAGCAGAGACCGCCUGAUCCAUGUAUUUGACACCAGGGACCAGUACAACCUUGUACAGACACUAGACGACCAUUCCUCCUCCAUCACUGCUGUGAAGUUUGCAGAGAAUGAUGGCCAGAUUAAGAUGCUGAGCUGUGCUGCAGACAAAUCUGUGCUGUUCAGGACUGCUACACAGGGUCCUGACCAUGAGCUCCAGUUUGUCUUGGACCACCACCUGGUGGGGAAAACCACCCUGUAUGACAUGGACGUGGAUCCUUGCAACAAGUUUGCCAUCACAGCAUGCCAGGACAGAAAUGUUAGAAUUUACAACAUCAAGACAGGAAAGAACAAAAAGUGCUACAAAGGUGCUACAGGAGAUGAUGGUACUUUGAUCAAGGUGCAGCUUGACCCCUCUGGUACCUACGCCUGCACCAGCUCCUCUGACAAAUCUCUGGCCAUCUUUGAUUUCUACACUGGAGAAUGCAUGGGCUCCAUGUUUGGUCACUCUGAAAUAGCCACUGGGGUCAGGUUUAUGAAUGACCUCAAGCAUAUCAUCACAGUGUCAGGAGAUGGGUGCAUUUUCAUCUGGAAAGUGAGUUCAGACUUGACACAGCAGAUGUAUCAAAGACUGAUAGAUCUGGGCCAGCUGACCACCAAAUACAUUCCUAAUGGAGACAACAGGAGCCCAGCUUCCCCUAGGGUUGAGAUUGAAAACAUCCCAGAGAGAGAUGAGGGUGACUUUGGCCCACCUCCCCCUGAGUUUCUCCACCCCAAUGUUAACAGUAAGACCAAUGGGAAUGGGGUAGACUACAGGUUCAGUGUGGGACAACUCCCUGCUUGGGCUAAGAAACAAAUGUCUGCUGAGCCAGUGACCUCAGAGACAGGCAGUCAGCUGCCCUCUCAGCCCAAGGGGAAAUGGGCCACCAGGGUGGAACCCCAGGGGAUUGCUGUCAAGUCUAUCCUGGACAAUAACAAUGCUAUUGAAGUCAACUGGGCAGAGAAUAGAAGGUUUACCUUUGAAGCAGACCAGUCUUCUAACAUUAGAAGGGAAACAAUUGUGUUACCCAAGGCAACAAGACCAAAUAGCAUUCCAAUCAUUGAAGAUGAUGAUAACAACCAGGAUGAUGAUGACGACGACUUCUUCCCCAUGUCAGCAAGGGAACAAGCAGAGAGGCUGGACAGGGAUGCUUCUGGUCUGCUACAGGGUGGUAGAGUUACAGAGAGGGGGAGGUCGUACCCCAGUAUAGACACUCUGGCCAGUACCCCCAGUGAGGAGGACGAGGACACAGAGACUGAGGAACAUGGAGAAGUCAUAUAUUACCCACAAGAUGGAGAGGAUAAUGCUGCAUCAGAAUCUAGUUCAUUCCAAGUUGUUGCAAUUUCCAAGGAGGAGUUGAAGGCAAGCAGACGACAAAUGAAGAUGCAGAAGAACAAGGAAUCUGAACCAGCAGCCAGUAUAUCUGAUUCCUUCUCUGACACACAUUCACACAGAGGCGAGCCAAACUCAGAAGAUGAGAUGGGAGAUGAUGAGAUGGACCUGAGUAGUCCCCAGUCUUCCUUCCCCAAUACCCCUGUGACCCCAGGAGCCAGGAUGUUGUUUGAUCAACUAGAACGGGAGAAAUUUUCUAGGACUUUUGAAGACAUGGAAGCCACUUUGGCAGGAGGAGGUGAACACAGUCUGGAUGGUAUGGACCAGUUAAAUGGAGGUCAGCUGAUGCAUCCUAGGCUGAGUAUAUCAGCAAGGUUCUUGUCCAGAGCUCAGCAGGAACAGCUCAGGAAUGUCAUAGGAAUGCAACCAGAGAGAGAUACUAAUGUGGUAUGUAUGGACAUUGAAAAGAAAAAGGAAUCCAUGGUGAAGUCAGCUGAUGAUCCAAGAAGAAGAUUACAAGAGCUCGGUUGGACGGGGCUUAUUUAUGUUCCGCCUGAUCCCAAUGAGCAACCAGAGAGGGAGAGAACUAACACUUCAUAUAGAACUAAAACUCAGCAGUCUCCUCCUUCAAGACUUGCUAAGGAAUCUCCUCAUAAUUCAGACACUCCUGAUGGUGGGAAAAGAACCAAGAAAAGAUCCAUGCUGAAUUUGGUCAAGGCCACCGCACAGGCAGAACAAGGCGUAGAAUCUCCUGCCUCGGAACCAGAAAAGGAACCAGUUACGCAACCAAUUAAGCAACCAGAUAAAGAGCGUUCCUCAAUGAGGAGGGCAUGGUCCUCCACAGAUGUAUCCCGUCAGCCACUCGAAAUAGCAGGGAUGGGUGGUCGUCAGCAGCGCAAUUUACCCCCAACUCCUGAUACCCAGACACAGUCACUCCGUGCUUAUGGUAAAAAUUCCAAACUACGCCCCAGUGCUAUCAGCAGAGCUCAGUCUCGGGCCGUAUGGAAGCAACUAAUACUAACUGCCUUAAAAACACGGGAGCAGGAUAAACCUUCUAGGGAUAAGGGGAAUAUUGCUAAACUGGAGAAAUCUCUGGGGAAGAUACCAAGCCCUGCCUCUCCCACAAAAGAAUUUCCAGGCUCCAGAUUUAGUGACUCAGUACCCUCUAGGAGUAGAUCUGAGGCCAACCUGCUGGCUUCAGGCAGGGACUUACAGCCAGUGAACACUACUCCAAAGCGUAUGACCAGGAGGCAACAUUCGUACAGGGACGCCACAGCCAGUUCUUCAGCUAAGAUGUCACGUGCUAGCUCUUCUCAGGGUUUAAAUGCUGGUAAAGUAGAAGGAGAAGCCGAUGGUGAUGCCAGUAAUUUAUCCAAGGCCAUGUCCAUGCAUACACUCAGUAAUGUGCCAAGUGGCACUGUUCCAGGUGCAGGUGGGGUACAAAAGAGGACCUAUUCUAGGCGGCGCUCAGACAGGUUGAGUAGGACGCGUUCCAUGGACCUGACCUCAUCCUCACCUAACUUGUUAUCUCAGAUUUCGGUGGAGGAACACAAAAGCCCUGCUAGCUCAGAAAGUGACCACACAAAAACUGAGUCUCAGCAGCAGUCAACAUCAAGGGUUAGCAAUAAGGGUAGCAGAGCUCCAAAACAGUCAUCGGAUAAAAGUGAAAGUACUCUUACCAAGGACACUCUGAAAGGUAGCCGUGAUAGUUUAGCAUCAAUAUCAUCUCUUCCUGAUGAUGACAAAUCUGAAAAAGUGUCUGUGCAUUCUGGAAAUGUGUUGUCCAAGGAUGAGGUAGAUAGACUUGCUAUGCCACCACCCCCAGCUGCAGUUGCAGUAUCAAAGUCAAAACCCACAGAUACUUUCUUAAAGAGGGCAGCACAGUCCAAACGCCGAUCCAAUGCAGAUUUAAGCCUCAAUCAAGCGAAAGAUAUAUUAUUAGGAAAAUCUGGUAUUCUUUCAAAGACAACUUCAAUGGACACUGGACUUAACAUGGCAGGAAAAGUAAUGCAAAAUACUGGGGAAAUUGAUAUUGAUUCUAAAUCUUCUGAAGAUGAAAAGCAUGGUAAUUCUAAAAGAGAUGUGUCAAGCAAGAAAGACAUUUCAUCUGUUUUCAAUGGUGAGGAUAAAACAGAUACUAUUAGAGCAGCAAAGGGAGAUAUUAUACUGCAGGCUAAAACAUCUGGAUUAGCACCAACAAACUCUGAGGAUGUAGUGCCAAAGAGAAGAACACGGACACCCCGCCGACAAAGGCCAAAAUCAGAAAUCUUCUCACGCUCUAACUUCAGUACUACAGUAGAGAGGCCUGCUUCUGCUCUAGGUAACAGGGAAGGGGGAGAGCCCAUACCUGCACAAGAAAAUAAGGAAAAUAUUGAGGCUACUUCAGGCUCAGAGGGGGUCAAGUCCUUGCUGAAGAAGUUCAGUAAAUCCCGUGAGGGAUUGGAUAAAUUAACAUUUGAAACAUCCCCAGGGACUCCAAGGUCGCGAAGGUCAUCUAUAAGCAAAUCCAGAGAGGAUUUGAGAUUAUCUUUAUCCUCAAACCAGCUCUCAUAUAGUUCUCCUUCCUUGAAUUCUGGGAAACUUUCUGUAAAACAGGAUGAUGAGAACAAAACUUCAGAUACAGAUAGCAGUGUUGCUGAGAUCACCAGGGCAUCUCCCAGAACUAUGCAGACAGAUCACUUGGCUUCCCCUCGAGGCAGGCAAGAUUCUGUGAGGUCUAAGGGAUCAGGAGACUUGGACUCCUCUAGUGACAGUUUGCCCUCUUACUCAAUGAAAAGGAGACUUCCUAGUGGCUUCAGUCCAGCUCGAAGCAGCUCGCCCAAAGUUGACGACCAAGGAGGAGCGCGUCCUAGAGCCUCUAGAGUGACAUCACCAUUAGUGAUGACUGAGACAGAAAAAGAUCCAUUGGUUGUGUGUGCCGAAGCAGUUACAGAUCUGAAGAAGUCAAUACAGAGAGUUACAGAUAUGUAUCAAAAGGUUUCUAGGCGAUCUUCAGAUGAAACUUCCAGAAAGAUGAGAGAAAUGCUGUCCGAAGCGUUCAAAGAAAUCCAGGCAUCCCUCUCAUCAAGCCUGUCAUCACCACAACAGACUCCAAGGAGAGAGUCUCCUAGAACCACCACCAGAGGGCAGUUAGGGUCCCCACAGACAGUGCCACACAAUGGCCAGAAUGUUUCCCCAUCCCCACCACCACCAGCACAGCCAAUUCAACAACAGCAAACAACAACCGUGCCCUCAAAACAACAGAAUCUGGCCAGCAGCCAGAGAAAUUUUACCCCAACAGAACAGAAGCAAGGAGGUAUGCCUUCUCCUUUUGGAGAAAACGGGAUGGAUGAGGCCACCUAUAAAAUGCUGUUUAAUUCAUUUAUGCAGCACAUGCAACAGAACAUGCCAGCAAUGAACACUAGAGGGCAGCAGGGGCCAGGAGGCUCUGGUUAAACAUUGCAACACUGGCAGGCCUGUAUAGAGAUUACAGUCUUGAGCUUCCAUGCAACUACCCAUUCCAGCAAUAUGCAGUUUUUUUAAAAUAUAUUUAUUGGUUUAAAUAACUUUUCAGAAAAAACAAAAACAUGAAGGCAAUAGUAAUUUAAGUGGCCAGUCCAGUUUCAUUUGUUUCACUGGCAUAAUCUUGUUCCAUUGUUUUUCUAUGGGUUUGGAAAGAAUAGAUUUGAUACUGUUAUUUGUCAUGUAGAUAUGAACAUAUGUCAUGUAUCGAUAAAUGUCUACCUAGUAUGUUCACUUGCAUAUAUACACUCAGCUGAAUAUAAUAUAAGACAUGUAGAUGUUGAUCAGCUAUAGCUUAUAUUCAUGUAGUUUUUCAUUGUAAAUAUUUCACUAAUUAUCAUGGGGUUAAAUAGGUAGGUAUUUAAGAAUAGGUCAUGAGAAAAAAUAGUGAGACUGUUUUAUAUUUAUAAAUUGUUGUCAUCAUUGUUUAUGAAAGGUGAAGUACCUCAAAUCAAUCACCUUAAGUUUGAGAAAAAAAAAAGGGUGCACCCAUGUUUGGCUCUAUGAAAUAUGGUUGUCACAGAAAAGAGCACAACAUUCACUUGUUUCCAAGUUUAAGGACCUUUAAGGACCAAGAGGUGAAAUCAGUAUUACAGAUUUACAAUCUUAAAGUAAGACCAAUGUGAAAUAUUUUUUGUCUUGAGGAUCAUUUCGGUGGAUAUUUUAUACAGAUGGGUAAAAAUAUAUUGCUUUUUUUUUUUUUUUUU
rnacentral:misc_RNA from 1 species